CGGUGAAAUUUGGAUUUUGAAAGUGUAAUAUGAAUAGGUUUUAGAAAUUUAACUUAAUACUGAGAAGUUAAUAUUAAAGACCGGGAUUAGAUACCCCGUUAUUAUUAGUGAAACGAGAUUUUGGGGGUAGUAACUAGUUAUGAUCUUGAAACUCAAAGGAUUUGGCGGUAAUUAAGUCUAGUUAGAGGAACCUGUGCCAUAAACGAUAAACCACGAGGAUCUAGCUUUAUUUUGUUAAUCAAUAUGUAUAUCGCCAUUAUUAGAUAAUUUUUAAUGAAAUCUAUCGUAAUUAAAAUUUUUAAGUAUAUUAGGUCAAGGUGCAGUAAAUAAUAAAGUGGGGAUGUGGGUUACAAUUUAGUUUAUGAAUUACGAAUGAGUAUUAUUGAAAAUUACUUUGAAGGUGGAUUUAAUAGUAAGUUUGGCGUAUUAAGCUUUAUUGAUAAAAGCUCUUGAUUAUGUACACAUCGCCCGUCGUUCUCGCUUUUAAAGGUGAGAUA
rnacentral:rRNA from 1 species